UACGUAGGGGGGCGAGCGUUGUCCGGAGUUACUGGGCGUAAAGCGCACGCAGGCGGUCUGCUAAGUUUGGAGUGACAGUUGGUGGCUCAACCACCAAAGUGCUUUGAAAACUGACAGACUUGAGGGCUUCAGAGGGACACGGAAUUCCGGGUGGAGUGGUGAAAUGCGUAGAGAUCCGGAGGAACACCAAUGGCGAAGGCAGGGUCCUGGCUGGCACCUGACGCUCAUGUGCGAAAGCCAGGGGAGCGAACGGG
rnacentral:rRNA from 1 species